rnacentral:rRNA from 1 species
AUUGAACGCUGGCGGCAGGCCUAACACAUGCAAGUCGAACGGUAACAGGAAGAAGCUUGCUUCUUUGCUGACGAGUGGCGGACGGGUGAGUAAUGUCUGGGAAACUGCCUGAUGGAGGGGGAUAACUACUGGAAACGGUAGCUAAUACCGCAUAACGUCGCAAGACCAAAAAGGGGGACCUUCGGGCCUCUUGCCAUCGGAUGUGCCCAGAUGGGAUUAGCGAGUAGGUGGGGUAACGGCUCACCUAGGCGACGAUCCCUAGCUGGUCUGAGAGGAUGACAAGCCACACUGGAACUGAGACACGGUCCAGACUCCUACGGGAGGCAGCAGUGGGGAAUAUUGCACAAUGGGCGCAAGCCUGAUGCAGCCAUGCCGCGUGUAUGAAGAAGGCCUUCGGGUUGUAAAGUACUUUCAGCGGGGAGGAAGGGAGUAAAGUUAAUACCUUUGCUCAUUGACGUUACCCGCAGAAGAAGCACCGGCUAACUCCGUG